CACGUAGUUAGCCGGUGCUUCUUCUACACCUACCGUCACCACCCGAAGAUGGCUUCGUCGGUGUCGAAAGAGGUUUACAACCCGAAGGCCGUCAUCCCCCACGCGGCGUUGCUGCGUCAGGCUUUCGCCCAUUGCGCAAGAUUCCCCACUGCUGCCUCCCGUACGGAGUCUGGGCCGUGUCUCAGUCCCAGUGUGGCCGGUCACCCUCUCAGGCCGGCUACCCGUCGUCGCCUUGGUAGGCCAUCACCCCGACCAACAAGCUGAUAGGCCGCGGGCUCAUCCUGCACCGCCGGAGCUUUCCACACCACACCAUGCGGCACGAUGUCAUAUCCGGUAUUACGACCCCGGUUUCCAGGGCUUAUCCCAGAGUGCAGGGCAGAUUACCCACGUGUUACUCACCCGUUCGCCACUCAUCCACGGUGCAAGCACCGCUUCAGCGUUCGACUUGCAUGUGUUAAGCACGCCGCCAGCCGUGUCCUGUAGCGCGAGUCAAACGUAC
rnacentral:rRNA from 1 species